GUUGACCUCGGAUCAGGUAGGAAUACCCGCUGAACUUAAGCAUAUCAAUAAGCGGAGGAAAAA
rnacentral:rRNA from 2 species